AUUGAACGCUGGCGGAAUGCUUUACACAUGCAAGUCGAACGGCAGCACGGACUUCGGUCUGGUGGCGAGUGGCGAACGGGUGAGUAAUACAUCGGAACGUGCCCAGUCGUGGGGGAUAACGUAGCGAAAGCUACGCUAAUACCGCAUACGAUCUAAGGAUGAAAGCGGGGGAUCGCAAGACCUCGCGCGAUUGGAGCGGCCGAUGGCAGAUUAGGUAGUUGGUAGGGUAAAGGCCUACCAAGCCGACGAUCUGUAGCUGGUGUGAGAGGAUGGUCAGCCACACUGGGACUGAGACACGGCCCAGACUCCUACGGGAGGCAGCAGUGGGGAAUUUUGGACAAUGGGCGCAAGCCUGAUCCAGCCAUUCCGCGUGCAGGAUGAAGGCCUUCGGGUUGUAAACUGCUUUUGUACAGAACGAAAAGGCUCUGGUUAAUACCCGGGGCUCAUGACGGUACUGUAAGAAUAAGCACCGGCUAACUACGUGCCAGCCGCCGCAGUAA
rnacentral:rRNA from 1 species